AUUGAACGCUGGCGGCAGGCCUAACACAUGCAAGUCGAACGAGUGGCGGACGGGUGAGUAAUGUCUGGGAAACUGCCUGAUGGAGGGGGAUAACUCCUGGAAACGGUAGCUAAUACCGCAUACCAUCGGAUGUGCCCAGAUGGGAUUAGCUCGUAGGUGGGGUAAAGGCUCACCUAGGCGACGAUCCCUCGCUGGUCUGCGAGGAUGACCAGCCACACUGGAACUGAGACACGGUCCAGACUCGUACGGGAGGCAGCAGUGGGGAAUAUUGCACAAGGGGCGCAAGCCGGAUGCAGCCAUGCCGCGUGUAUGAAGAAGGCCUUCGGGUUGUAAAGUACUUUCAGCGGGGAGGCGUUAACCGCAGAAGAAGCACCGGCUAACUCCGUGCCAGCAGCCGCGGGAAUAC
rnacentral:rRNA from 1 species